GCAUGAUUUUAUGUUAAUUAUUUAAAUAAUGUUUAACAUAAUUAUAUAUAUUCGCAGUUUUUAUUUUUAUAAAUAUUUAAUAAUUUAAGAUUUAGUUAAUUUGUUAAUGACUAGCAAAAAUUGUGCCAGCAGCUGCGGUUACACAAUUGGUCAUAUUUAUUUUUUUCGGUUAAUUAUUUAAUUUUUUAUUUGUCUUGAUUAUUAUUUAUUUUUAGGUGAAAUUUAAAUAAUAAUUUUAUGGAUAGGUAAUUAUUUUAAUGAAUAUAAGAAAUUUUUUAUUAAACUAGGAUUAGAUACCCUAUUAUUUUAAAUGUAAAUUAUUUUUCUCAGUACUAUAAGUUAUGAUCUUUAAAUUGAAAGAAUUUGACGGUAAUUUUAAUCAUUUUAGAGGAACCUGUUCUGUAAUUGAUAAUCCACGAUAAAUUUUACCUUAAUUUUUAAAUUGGUUUGUAUAUCUCUGUCUGAUUGAGUGUUUUAUUAGAAUAUUUUCUUAAAUUUUUAUUGAAAUUUAUGUCAGGUCAAGGUGCAGCUAUAUUAAGGUUUUAAAUGGGUUACAUUUAAUUUAUUUAUUAUUGAAUUAAUUUAUGAAUUUGAAUUAUGAAAAUGGAUUUAAUUGUAAUAAAUAUUAUAUAUUAUUUAUGAUAUAUGUUCUUGAUUAAGUACAUAUCGCCCGUCACUCUCAUUAUUAAGAUGAGAUAAGUCGUAACAAAGUAGUUUUAUCGGAAGAUGAAGCUGGAAUUAU
rnacentral:ncRNA from 1 species